AUCGUCACGGAGAUACCGCUUGCAAAAUCCGCUCUCUCCCCUCUCGUCAUCGUCACGGUUCUGUUAUCUGGUGAUGACGAUGGUAGUAGUAGGAAGAGAGCAAGUUAAAAAACUAAGGAGGAAGCUUCAAGGAUAUGUGUUCAGAGAGAGAGCAACAUUUGUAAUUCUGGCUUGUCUCCAAGUCCCUGGUGAUGGUGAUGGUGAUUGAACCUUUCGAUAUGAGGAAAGCAUCUCAUCUCUCUUGUCAAAGAUAGAUGAUGAAAUUUCUUCGAGAUCGAAGUCUUGGCCCAAGAAGAUACAGACUUUGGAAAACAAU